rnacentral:rRNA from 1 species
GUGCCAGCCGCCGCGGUAAUACCGGCAGCCCGAGUGAUGGCCGAUCUUAUUGGGCCUAAAGCGUCCGUAGCUGGCCGCGCAAGUCCAUCGGAAAAUCCACCCGCCCAACGGGUGGGCGUCCGGUGGAAACUGCGUGGCUUGGGACCGGAAGGCGCGACGGGUACGCCCGGGGUAGGAGUGAAAUCCCGUAAUCCUGGACGGACCGCCGAUGGCGAAAGCACGUCGCGAAGACGGAUCCGACAGUGAGGGACGAAAGCUAGGGUCUCGAACCGGAUUAGAUACCCCGGUAGUCC